AUUAAGAGGAUCAAAAGAAUAAUGAUAAAAAACAAAUCAGAAUCGAAUCAAAUCAUUUCUGGAAAUGAUCAAUACCAGCCCUAGAACCGAUGCGUCGAUGUCCCCCAUCCCUCGAGUUGAAUCAUUCCCGGGUCGUCGUUCUCUUUUCCACCUCUGAAAGGCCCUGAAGCCCCGAGAGAACCCCCCGCCACGCUGCAGUGGAACGUUCCAGUCUGGAUUAGAGAAACUCUCGCCGUCUCGAUGACCCACUAAACUCCUAACCCGGUGUGGGAACAGUGCGAGUUUAAUUGGCCCCUCCUGGCUGUAUCAGGCUGUAACAAGUGACAACAGAGAACGUGUUGGCUGGCUUGUUAACUGGGGGCACGGGGUCCUGGAGGGGGUCCAGAGGCGAGCAGAAUUCCUUCUACCUUCUCAGAGGGGGACACUCCCCACCGCCAGCACCGGACUGGGGGUUCAUCCAGAGAUGAAUCUCCACUGCAGAGGAAGAACUUCUUCUGAUCCUGCUGUGACUCUGGGAGGUCAGGAAAGCGAGCAGCCAAGCUGCCAUCCGGCUGUAACGAAGCGAGUUCCUGUAAAACACGGGAUCAUCAUGAAAGAGGAGCCGGCUGGACAAUAACAGAAGUCCCGGAGUUUGGCUGAGCGGCACCGAAAAGAGUCCAAACAAGUCAGAACUCCAGCAACACCUGCAGAAUAAAUGAGGUUCCUCAUCCUCCGGGCCAGAAGUUUUCCGCCUGCAGACCCGACUGGUUCUGGAGGGACCGUCUUUCACUUCACAGUUUCAACCACCAAAGUGAUGGGAUGGAUUCUGGUUUCAUAUAAAUUCACUGCUUCCCCUCCACUUUUCUAUUUAUAUUAAUAUAUUUGGUUUCAUUGAAUCGUGUGGAAGAACAGCUGUUUAUGAUUAAGAUGAAUCACGUCAGGAAGAUUCUUUUAAAUGUAUUUUCUAAUCAAUUUAUGAUUGAAAAACUAAAAUGUAUUUGAUUUAUACUGUAUGUCUUUAUCACUUUUAUUGCUAAAAAUACAUUAAAUUAAUCAAUGUAUAUGUUUUACUCCACACUCUCAGCCUCUUUGAAAAAGAAAAAAUAUAUUUUUUAAAGUAUUAAAAAUCUGUUCUGAUUGAAAAAAACAUUUUGAUAAUAAAUUGGCUUUAUUUUAAGGAGAAUUACCACUUUUGGGUUUAAAACAAGACAAAAAAUCACACAGUUAAUCAAGUUUUCAAACCAUUCCAUGUAGUUUUUCAGAUACAAAUUUGAUUUAUUUGUGUUGAAAACAAAACAUGAUGAUUCUUUUUUGUGGAAUUUAGUGAAUUAUGAUUUUAACGAGGUGCAAAUGCUUAGCCUAAUGUUGUGUUAGGGUCAACACCGAUCCGUUUCAGUUUUUAAUUGCAUAAAAUAAUUAUUUAAAAUGAAUUCAGUAUUUUAUUCCUUGUCGGGAACCUUGAUUUCAACAGAAUUAUUAUUAUUAUUUUGAAUUCUGAAAUACUCUGAAAUGCUGAAAUGAUGUCUUUCCAGGACAUAUGGUGUGUUUUGACCCGGUUAUAUAAAAUAACUUUAUAUUGUAAAAAUUCGAGCCUCCUCCUCUCCCACUCGUGUGAGCUCAUGAUUUCUUUUGGUUUGAUUUGUUGGUGGUUUGUGUUCCGAUGUGUUUGGAUUAAAGUUCUUAUGCUGAAGAAAAAUUUUGAUGUAUUUUCGCAUGUCCUUUAAGAAAACAUGUCCCAUAACAUGAUAGAAGUUAAUCAUAUUGAAACUGAAAAAUAGAUCAAGCAAAU